rnacentral:snoRNA from 15 species
AGCUAGUGAUGAAUUGCGUAAUUUCUGACACCUCGUAUGAGAACUGCACGCACGUGCGGUCUGAUUAGCUUGCAAGACUGAAGGCCUC